CGGAGCCGGCAGGGAUGCGAUGGCGGAGUCGCUGCCCCUGGAGAUGCUCACAUAUAUUCUGAGUUUCCUGCCUCUGUCAGAUCAGAAAGAGGCCUCCCUGGUGAACCGGGCUUGGUACUGUGCAGCCCAGAAUGCCCUUCGAGAGACAAAAGUGCGGUACAACAUCCCUGUGUCCUCUGCCUCACUCUCGGCUAUCAAGAGCUUGGGCCUCCGGGGCAUCUCCUGCAUCAGCUUGACCAACCUGGAUGGCUCACCCGCCUCCCACCAGGUGCUGCAGUCCAUUGCCUACCACCUCGGCCCACACCUGCAGAGCCUGUGCCUGAGUGGGGGCAGUCCCACAGAGGCCUCCUUUGUGGCUCUGGUCCUGCGAUGCCCAGCCUUGCGCAUCCUUGACCUCAGUGGCUGCAACAGCCUCUUUACAUCAGGCAUGCUACUGGCUCAGCCUGAGACAGCACAGCGUGUACGGCAGGCACUGAGUGGCCUCCGUGAGCUCAACCUGGCCGGCCUGCGGGACCUGACUGACCUCAGCUUCAACCAGCUCAGCAGCUGUGUACCCAGCUUGGAACGCCUCUCUUUGGCUUACUGCCACCUUACCUUUGAGUCAAGCCCAACUUGGGGUCCCCAGGGCUCUCCUCCCUUUGAACUAUCCUUCCAAAACCUGCUGAAAUUCGUUAAGGAGCGGGCUGGCAGUUUGCGUGCCCUGGACCUAAGUGGCACUGGCUUACCACCUGAGGCCCUAAAGGCCCUCAGCCAGGUGACUGGGCUGCAGCUGCAGGAGCUGAGCCUGCACAGCUGCCGGGACCUCUCUACAGAGGCGGUGGCCACUCUGUGCCGUCAGCAACCUGGCCUUACGUCCCUGGACCUCAGCGGCUGCUCAGAACUGACAGAUGGGGCGCUUUUGGCUGUGAGCAGGAGCCUACGGCAUCUGCGGCACCUGAGCCUGGGGAAGCUGCAGCGGCUGACAGAUGCGGGGUGUACAGCCCUGGGGGGCCUGAGGGAGUUGCAAAGCCUGGACAUGGCUGAAUGCUGCUUGGUGAGCGGGCGGGAGUUGGCCCAGGCCCUGGGCACAGUACGCGGAACUCCACCCCCACUGACCUCUCUCAGGCUGGCCUACUGUUCUUCACUGAAGGAUGCAUCCGUGCUCUCCAUGAUCCCAGUGCUGAGCUCAAACCUGAGGGUGCUAGACUUGUCCUCUUGUGUGGCCCUCACCAACCGGACCAUGCAGGCCAUCUGCUACUACCUCACCCACCUCUCAGUCCUGCGCCUGGCUUGGUGCAAGGAGCUCUGUGACUGGGGGCUUCUGGGGCUAGAGGAACCAAAUGAGAAGCCUGCAUUAGGCCCCCAGUCACACCCAGAGCUGAAACAUCAGGCCUCAGACUCUACGGACCUUUCUCCCAAAUCACAGGGCCCCUCCCUGCUCAUGCUGCAGGCCCUCCAGGAGUUGGACCUCACAGCCUGCAGCAAGCUGACCGAUGCCAGUUUAGCCAAGGUGCUUCAGUUCCCCCAGCUGAGGAGGUUGUCACUGAGCCUAUUGCCAGCACUCACAGACAUGGGUUUGGUGGCUGUGGCCAGGGGCUGCCCCAGUCUGGAGCGUUUGGUGCUGAGUCACUGCAGCCAUCUUAGUGAUGAGGGCUGGGCCCAGGCAGCCAGGUUCUGGCCAAGGUUGCAGCACAUCAACCUAUCCAGCUGUAGUCAACUCACAGAGCAAACACUGGAUACCAUUACUCAGACAUGCAAGCAGCUCCAAGUGUUGGAUGUGGCCAUGUGUCCUGGUAUCAACAUAGCAGCUGUCAGGCGCUUUCAAGAACAGCUGCCUCAGGUGACCUGCAUCCAGUCUCGCUUCGUAGGAGGGGCUGACCUGACCCUCACACUCUAAUACCAGGUCAGUAACCAGUCCUACAGCUCAGUCUUCUUUAUCAUAACCCUUAACUCCAGCCCAGGUCUAAGGACUUGGAGUUUGUUGCAGGGCCUCUUGCCUCCUUCUGCUACGAAGUUUGUCUAGGACUCAAUCCAGGGCAGCACAGGCAACAGCCACUUUCCACUCACCGUUUGGGAGGCCAGGCCCACAGGCAGACUUGGCCGGGGAUGGGAAGGAGCAAACCCUGUGCCUCCUGUCACCCCAACACCUCACACCUAAGGCCAGAAUCUAUGAGAAGCAAGUCUAUCCAAAUGGCUAUCAUGGGUCCCCAUACUUUGUCCAUCUAUUCAUCAAUUCUAGAAGUAGCUAGAUAAUAUUCUGAGUGCUUCAUGUAGGGGUUUAGAGUGCCAACACUGCUAGUCCCCAGGCUAGCUGGAAAGACAAAUAAGCCAACUGGUAGGGGUGAUCUAAUGUGAUGAGUGUGGUAGAGAAAGCAGAAUCUCAGGGCAGCAAUGAUCUUGGAGGGUCAAGGAAGGAAUAAAAAGUAGUGAAAAAUGAGAGAAGGGCAAUCCAGGUAGAAGGGACUAUGGGGUGCACAUGGGCCGUCCAGAGCUGUUGCUGAGCAGAUAGGAGUGGGCUCUGAUCAGGUACAGAGAGGAUCGCAACUAGAGCCAUUCAAGAAUGCUGCAGGGGGCUGGGAAAAUGGCCUAGUGGUAGAGUGCUUAUCUUGUGUACAGGAAG